rnacentral:rRNA from 1 species
UACGGGGGGAGCAAGCGUUGUUCGGAUUUACUGGGCGUAAAGGGCGCGUAGGCGGCACCGCAAGUCGACUGUGAAAUCUCCGGGCUUAACCCGGAAAGGUCAGCCGAUACUGCGGGGCUAGAGUGCAGAAGGGGCAACUGGAAUUCUCGGUGUAGCGGUGAAAUGCGUAGAUAUCGAGAGGAACACCUGCGGCGAAGGCGGGUUGCUGGGCUGACACUGACGCUGAUGCGCGAAAGCAUGGGGAGCGAACAGG